AAGAGACAGCAAUCGCCGCGGGAAUACAGAGGGUGCGAGCGUUAAUCGGAUUUACUGGGCGUAAAGCGUGCGUAGGCGGCUUCUUAAGUCGGAUGUGAAAUCCCUGAGCUUAACUUAGGAAUUGCAUUCGAUACUGGGAAGCUAGAGUAUGGGAGAGGAUGGUAGAAUUCCAGGUGUAGCGGUGAAAUGCGUAGAGAUCUGGAGGAAUACCGAUGGCGAAGGCAGCCAUCUGGCCUAAUACUGACGCUGAGGUACGAAAGCAUGGGGAGCAAACAGGAUUAGAUACCCCGGUAGUCCCUGUCUCUUAUAC
rnacentral:rRNA from 1 species